UACGUAGGGUGCGAGCGUUGUCCGGAAUUAUUGGGCGUAAAGGGCUCGUAGGCGGUUUGUCGCGUCGGGAGUGAAAUCCCCUGGCUUAACUGGUGGCUUGCUUUCGAUACGGGCAGACUGGAGGUAUGCAGGGGAGAACGGAAUUCCUGGUGUAGCGGUGAAAUGCGCAGAUAUCAGGAGGAACACCGGUGGCGAAGGCGGCUCACUGGACCGGUACUGACGCUGAUGCGCGAAAGCGUGGGGAGCAAACGGG
rnacentral:rRNA from 1 species